AGGACGAACGCUGGCGGCGUGCCUAACACAUGCAAGUCGAACGGAGAUAAUCUUAAUAGAGAGAAGCUUGCUCAGGAAGUUGAUGAUUAUCUUAGUGGCGGACGGGUGAGUAACGCGUGGGCAAUCUACCUUUACAGGGGGAUAACACAAGGAAACUUGUGCUAAUACCGCAUAAGACCACAGUAUGGCAUCAUACGGAGGUCAAAGGAGUAAUCCGGUAAAAGAUGAACCCGCGUCUGAUUAGCUAGUUGGUAAGGUAAUGGCUUACCAAGGCGACGAUCAGUAGCCGGACUGAGAGGUCGAACGGCCACAUUGGGACUGAGACACGGCCCAGACUCCUACGGGAGGCAGCAGUGGGGAAUAUUGCACAAUGGGGGAAACCCUUGAUGCAGCAACGCCGCGUGAAGGAAGAAGGCCUUCGGGUUGUAAACUUCUUUGACAGGGGACGAAUAAAAUGACGGUACCCUGAAAACAAGCCACGGCUAACUACGUGCCAGCAGCAGC
rnacentral:rRNA from 1 species